UUGAAAACAUUAAAUGAAAUUUUAAAACAAGAUAUGUUUUUGAAGAAAGUUUAUUAGAAUAUUCAAGAAAACAUAAAAGAUCAAUGACUAAACACUAGUACUCUAGUACUAUCAUCAAUAAUAUUGUAAAUGACCAUCUAUGAAGAGGAAGCAUGUGGACAACACAGGACAGAUUGGAUGGAUCAAACACGAGUAAAUCUGAAUCAUCUACAAGGAGGGAGUAUGUGGACAACACAGGAGAGAUUUGAUGGAUCAAUCAUGAGUAAACGUUGACCAUCUAUUAGGGAGUAUGUGGACAAUACUAGAGAGAUUGGAUGAAUCAAACACGAGUAAACGUGGGCCAUUUAUGAGGAUGGAGUAUAUGGAUGUGGAGCAUCUUUGGAGUUGUUAAUUAGUAUUAUCUCAACUGAAGGUCCCACACUUUGGUUCAGUCACCAUAAAUUAAUACUUUAGAAUUAUAUAACUAACUACAUGCAAAUUACCGAAGUUGAGACUGUGAUUAAUUUAAAUUGAAAAUAAGUAUAUAAAGAAUAUAACUUUUUA